rnacentral:rRNA from 1 species
GUUAGGAAUAUUGGACAAUGGGCGAAAGCCUGAUCCAGCCAUGCCGCGUGAACGAUGAAGGCCUUCGGGUUGUAAAGUUCUUUAGCCGAUGAUUAUAAUGACUGUAGUCGGAAAAUAAGCCCCGGCUAACUUCGUGCCAGCAGCCGCGGUAAUACGAAGGGGGCGAGCGUUAUUCGGAAUCACUGGGCGUAAAGCGUGCGUAGGCGGUUUUGUAAGUUAGGAGUGAAAGCCCAGGGCUCAACCUUGGAAUUGCUCUUAAAACUGCAAGGCUCGAAUCUCGGAGAGGAUAGCGGAAUUUCCAGUGUAGCAGUGAAAUGCGUAGAUAUUGGAAGGAACACCAGUGGCGAAGGCGGCUUACUGGUCCAUUACUGACGCUGAGGUGCGAAAGCGUGGGGAGCAAACAGGAUUAGAAACCCGAGUAGUCC